AAGCGUUGUUCGGAUUUAUUGGGCGUAAAGCGCGUGUAGGCGGUUUGUUAAGUCUGAUGUGAAAGCCCUGGGCUCAACCCGGGAAGUGCAUUGGAWACUGGCARACUUGAAUACGGGAGAGGGUAGUGGAAUUCCUAGUGUAGGRGUGAAAUCCGUAGAUAUUAGGAGGAACACCGGUGGCGAAGGCGGCUACCUGGACCGAUAUUGACGCUGAGACGCGAAAGCGUGGGGAGCAAACAGGAUUAGAUACCCUGGUAGUCCACGCCGUAAACGAUGAGUACUAGGUGUUGCGGGUAUUGACCCCUGCAGUGCC
rnacentral:rRNA from 1 species